GCGCUCAUAAAACCUAGUCCAUACAAAAUGUCCGGUAGGCUGUAACCACGUUGUAAUAACCAAAUUUUGUUCGAAUUCUCAAAUUAGGCAUUUCAUGACUCCUUCUUUUCAUCGAAUUUUUGCCCCGUUUCAGACUUGAUUUUAGGCCCGAUGUUGGGCCUAAUUACGGGCCUGUUACUAUUAUUAAUUAAGAAAUUAUCACCUCUUAUUUUUUUGUUAGAAACGUCGCAAGCCCUCUUAUUUUUUUGUUAGAAACGUCGCAAGCUUUGGUUGGUUAAAAAGGAGGUGACAACCCUAUUCUGAAUUUAAAUAGACAACAAAAGAGAAAAUGGGAGGAGGAGGAGAUUUUCAGAUUUAAUUUUUCCCCAACCAUACCCAAAAAAAAUCUCAAAACAAAUCAGCCACAAAAAUCCCAAAAGUUAUUACAAUAUAUUACAAAAAAUACUAAAACUUAUGUCAUCAUCCACUUUGUCGUCACUUGCAAAGACCGCCACCUGAAACACGACAAAAAAGAAGUUUCGGAUUAAAGGUAAUCAUUCAAACAUUCCUAUUCAAAAGCAUUCACACAACAUUCAUGCAUACACAUUGUUGUGAUUAUACCCCCUAAACUACCUUCGAAUCUAAUGUUUAUUGUGACUAAUCAAGUGAACGUUUUAUUUGAGUAAACAACCAACAAAUCAAUAAAAUAAGUUUCAAAAAUUAACUAAAGUUGUUGGAAAAUAUGCUAGCAAAGAAACCUAUAACCAUCUUUCAUUAAGGAUCCAAAAAGCUAUGAAACUCAUAAUAUAAUCGAAUUAAAAUACAAAUUAUUUGACUAAACAAGGUUGCUGAAUUUUUUUUAAACAUUAGAAAAAACCAAGGUUUUUUAACACAUAACUUUGUUAAAACACUUAGACUACUACUACAAUCUCAGUAACAAAACUAAUCAAGUUUCCAAACGUAGACUAGACUGAAUUUUUUCCAAACGUGAUUUCUUUUUACCUUUAUUUCUCCGUCGCUGCCACCAGUUUUCUCCCUUAACAAAGAAAUCAACAACAUAACAAAUUAAAUCCACAAAAUAAAAUAAAAAGAAUAUUUCAAUCCCUAGAUCUACAAAUCGGACCUUGCAUGUCAGCGAAGGACUCACCGGAACCUCCUCCCUUGACAUACAAGUUUGGAUCUGGACGAAAUCAGAAAAAAAACAAAAAAGAGAGGUUCCAAAGAUGUCUUUUACUUUUUUUCUCUUUCUUUUCGUUGAUGAUGGUCGAGAAAGAAGAGGUGAAGCAGAGGCGUUGGCGGCCGCUGUCGUCGUUAAAAAGCAGAGGAAGAUAGAGGCGGCGGAGGCAAUGGCUGAGAGGAAAAGAGGAAGAAAAGAGAAGGAAAAAAGAAGAGAAAGUGAGGGAAAGAAGAAAAAGAAAAGAAGGAAAGGGAGGCGGCGGCGGCCGCCGUCGUUAAAAGAGGAAAAAAAGAGGCGGCCAGAAGAGGAAAGGAAAGAGAAGAAAAGAAGAAAAAGAGGGAAAAAGUAAGAGCCGUGAUGACGAGACGGCAGGGACGGCCGGGAGAAGAGAGGAGGGGGAGAGUUAGAGAGAGGGAGGAAGUUUUAAAGAGAGGGUAGAGAGUUUAGGGAAGAGGAAAAGAAGAGAUAGUGGAAAUGUGU
rnacentral:lncRNA from 1 species